GACGAACGCUGGCGGCGUGCUUAACACAUGCAAGUCGAACGGAAAGGCCCUGCUUUUGUGGGGUGCUCGAGUGGCGAACGGGUGAGUAACACGUGAGUAACCUGCCCUUGACUUUGGGAUAACUUCAGGAAACUGGGGCUAAUACCGGAUAGGAGCUCCUGCUGCAUGGUGGGGGUUGGAAAGUUUCGGCGGUUGGGGAUGGACUCGCGGCUUAUCAGCUUGUUGGUGGGGUAGUGGCUUACCAAGGCUUUGACGGGUAGCCGGCCUGAGAGGGUGACCGGCCACAUUGGGACUGAGAUACGGCCCAGACCCAUACGGGAGGCAGGAGUGGGGAAUAUUGCACAAUGGGCGGAAGCCUGAUGCAGCAACGCCGCGUGGGGGAUGACGGCUUUCGGGUUGUAAACCGCUUUCGCCUGUGAAGACGCGAGUGACGGUAAUGGGUAAAGAAGCACCGGCUAACUACGUG
rnacentral:rRNA from 1 species